rnacentral:tRNA from 1 species
GUCGGGAUAGCUCAGCUGGUAAAGCAAAGGACUGAAAAUCCUC